rnacentral:rRNA from 1 species
GGACGAACGCUGGCGGCGUGCCUAAUACAUGCAAGUCGAACGGUCUUUCUAUGGAAGCUUGCUUCCACUGAGAAGAUAGUGGCGAACGGGUGAGUAACACGUGGGUAACCUGCCCAUAAGAGGGGGGAUAACAUCCGGAAACGGGUGCUAAUACCGCAUAGUUUCUUGAUCGCAUGAUCGGGAAAGGAAAGACGGCCUUUGUGCUGUCGCUUAUGGAUGGACCCGCGGCGUAUUAGUUAGUUGGUGAGGUAACGGCUCACCAAGACGAUGAUACGUAGCCGACCUGAGAGGGUGAUCGGCCACAUUGGGACUGAGACACGGCCCAAACUCCUACGGGAGGCAGCAGUAGGGAAUCUUCCGCAAUGGACGAAAGUCUGACGGAGCAACGCCGCGUGAGUGAAGAAAGGUUUUCGGAUCGUAAAACUCUGUUGUCAGAGAAGAACAAGUUGGAGAGUAACUGCUCCAGCCUUGACGGUAUCUGACCAGAAAGCCACGGCUAACUACGUGCCAGCCGCUGC